rnacentral:rRNA from 1 species
GACGAACGCUGGCGGCGUGGAUUAGGCAUGCAAGUCGAACGGUAUCAUCCUUUCGGGGGUGAGAGAGUGGCGAACUGGUGAGUAACACGUAGGUUAUCUACCCUCAAGACGGGGACAACCCAGGGAAACUUGGGCUAAUACCGGAUGUGAGCAACUUUUAGUUGUUUGAAAGGUGGCGUAAGCUGUCGCUUGGGGAUGAGCCUGCGUCCUAUUAGUUAGUUGGUGGUGUAAAGGACCACCAAGGCGAUGAUGGGUAGCCGGCCUGAGAGGGUGAACGGCCACAUUGGGACUGAGACACGGCCCAGACUCCUACGGGAGGCAGCAGUGGGGAAUUUUGGACAAUGGGGGCAACCCUGAUCCAGCCAUGCCGCGUGAGUGAAGAAGGCCUCGGUUGUAAGACUCUUCUAGCCGGGAGAAAGCGCACUCUCUAACAUAGGUGUGGAUGACGGUACCGGAAGAAGAAGCACCGGCUAACUACGUAGCCAGCAGCCGCGGUAAACCUGUAGUCGU